CCCAGAGCUCUAUCGGAUAACGCACCUCUCUGCCUCAGGAGAUGGAAGUCGAGGAACAAAUUACACCGCGUUCUUGCAACUGUCUUCAUAGACAGAAAGGAAAUAUGGAGAAAACUAUUCACAGAUGGCAAUGUUGGAGAUCUGAUAGCCUUAGUCAAACAGGUCUCAACUAUCUUUUGAUUGAAUAUUGAAAUUUGACAGAUUUUCAAGUUCAUUGACACUGAUGUAAAUGCAGGAGUAAAGGAGCUUGGCAAAUUUCAAAUAUAUUAUAUUGCAAGCAACACCCCGGACUCAUUAGAAAGAAGUGUGCACUCAUUACAGUGUCCUUUAACAGAUUCAACUCAGACUGGCAACACAACUAGUUUGCUGACGCUGCUUGAAGAAAAGCCUCUUCAAUCCUGAGAGAACAUGAAGACUGUCAAAAAGUUGCUGUCAGUGUCCUUGUAGAGAAACAUGGAUUCUAUCCUUCUGGUAUAGAAAAGCUGGUACUAGCAAAAGAGAUUCUGUCAUUGUUCCCCUCAGGUGCCCUUUGGUGAAAAUGAGGGACAUGAGAAUGCCAUCACACAGUCGGACGGAGGCUUCAACAGAGCCAAUGGGUGUACAGUUUAAAACAUCAUCAUUGUACACCGCAACCUUCUUCACCAAGUCCAGAUGAAACCGUACCAAGUGAGUUGUUGUCUCUGAUAAAGAAGAUGCGACCAGACAAUUUAUCAUCAAUAAAGACUGCAAUCAAUCAAACCUUCAGUUACAGAAGAAGAUGGAUAACAACAAAAUCCCUUCAAAAUCUCUUGCUGAAAUCUUCAAGGACUAUCCCAGAUUUCUUGACAUGCCAGCUUUGAUGGACAUUGAAUUUUCCAAGCUCACAGAUAGGAACGAAGACUUGUUUAUCCAGAAAAGGGAAGGGACGAUAAUUCCAGAACUCAAAGAAAUAGCAUCUUGG